rnacentral:rRNA from 1 species
GAGGGUGCAAGCGUUAAUCGGAAUUACUGGGCGUAAAGCGCACGCAGGCGGUCUGUCAAGUCGGAUGUGAAAUCCCCGGGCUCAACCUGGGAACUGCAUUCGAAACUGGCAGGCUAGAGUCUUGUAGAGGGGGGUAGAAUUCCAGGUGUAGCGGUGAAAUGCGUAGAGAUCUGGAGGAAUACCGGUGGCGAAGGCGGCCCCCUGGACAAAGACUGACGCUCAGGUGCGAAAGCGUGGGGAGCA